CUAGGGAUGCACCGAUACCACUUUUUUGGAAAACGAGUACGAGUACGAGUACUUGCAUUUCAGUACUCGCCGAUACCGAUACCGAGUACUUAAUAAAAACAUGAUUUAAAUUUUCAGGUAACAGCUUUAGUCAUAUAAUUUAACAAAAAAAACAAGGGACUAGUUUGGAAUUAAGAACAUUUAUUUAAAAUGAAAAGCAUGUUGUAUGCAACAUAUUACAGAAUAAAUAAUUAUAAAAAAAAUUUAAACAGUGACAGUGCAACUCAAGUAUUUUUUUCAGUUUGUUGUAAACUCUGCUGUAAAUGACCGCAAAAUGGUGUUGUGUCUCUUUAAAUUAAUUGUACGUGUUACGUGCAUUACACCGUGAGGGGUGGGGUAAAAAAAAGGGUAAUCAGUUCAUCGGGGAGAAGCGUGAAGAUUUCUGUUCUUUCAAAGUACAUGGAGAAAAUUGAGUUUUUUGGUGAAUGCAGUUUGAUUCAGCUCAAUUUUUAAACUUAGUACCCUUUGGUAAAGCGGAGCGAGUUUCACGGUGCUACGCAACUAAAGGCUCAACGGCGCUCUGCAAGCGCGAAAUAAAGAGAGAUAAGCACC